UGGGGAAUUUUGGACAAUGGGCGAAAGCCUGAUCCAGCAAUGCCGCGUGUGUGAAGAAGGCCUUCGGGUUGUAAAGCACUUUUGUCCGGAAAGAAAUCCUUGGCUCUAAUACAGUCGGGGGAUGACGGUACCGGAAGAAUAAGCACCGGCUAACUACGUGCCAGCAGCCGCGGUAAUACGUAGGGUGCAAGCGUUAAUCGGAAUUACUGGGCGUAAAGCGUGCGCAGGCGGUUUGCUAAGACCGAUGUGAAAUCCCCGGGCUCAACCUGGGAACUGCAUUGGUGACUGGCAGGCUAGAGGUAUGGCAGAGGGGGGUAGAAUUCCACGUGUAGCAGUGAAAUGCGUAGGAGAUGUGGAGGAAUACCGAUGGCGAAGGCAGCCCCCUGGGCCAAAUACUGACGCUGCAUGCACGAAAGCGUGGGGAGCAAACAGGAUUAGAUACCCUGGUAGUCCACGCCCUAAAGCG
rnacentral:rRNA from 1 species